AGGGUGCAAGCGUUAAUCGGAAUUACUGGGCGUAAAGCGUGCGUCGGCGGUUUGGCAAGAAAGGUGUGAAAUCCCAGGGCUUAACCUUGGAACUGCACUUUUAACUGCCAGGCUAGAGUAUGUCAGAGGGGGGUAGAAUUCCGCGUGUAGCAGUGAAAUGCGUAGAGAUGCGGAGGAAUACCGAUGGCGAAGGCAGCCCCCUGGGAUAAUACUGACGCUCAGGCACGAAAGCGUGGGGAGCAA
rnacentral:rRNA from 1 species